rnacentral:rRNA from 1 species
CGCCAUGCGAGAUAAUGCAUGGUUUUUUCUGCUCAAUGAUAUGUUAAAUAGCCGCAGUACCUUGACUGUGCAAAGGUAGCAUAAUCAGUUGGCUUUUAAUUGGAGUCUGGGAUGAAUGAAAUAAUGGGUGGCAACUUUCUCAAAUAUAUUAUUGUGAAUUUGGUUAGUAGGUGCAAAUACUUACAUAAAAACAAAAGACGAGAAGACCCUAGAAGCUUAAAUAUGAUUUUGUUGGGGCGACAGAAUUACAUUAAACUAAUUCUUAUUACUCGAUGUAAAGGAGAUAGAAUAAGCUACUCUAGGGAUAACAGCAUAAUUUUAGAAGUUUGUGACCUCGAUGUUGGACUAGGGCCAUUAUAUCUUAGGAGGGUAUAAUGUCAAGCUCUGUUCGAGCAGUAUAACCUACAU